GGGGAUAGCUCACUAGAGGAGCAUCUGCCUUGCAUUCAGAAGGUCCCAGGUUCAAUCUCUGGCAUCUCCA
rnacentral:tRNA from 1 species